GGCCGCCUGGCGAAAUGGCAUCGCGUCUGACUACGAUGGAAGCGAGCUGAGAAGGUGUGUAAUCAGGAGAUUGCAGGUUCGACCCCUGCGGUGGUCA
rnacentral:tRNA from 1 species